rnacentral:rRNA from 1 species
CUACGGGGUGCAGCAGUGAGGAAUAUUGCACAAUGGGGGAAACCCUGAUGCAGCAACGCCGCGUGGAGGAUGACGCAUUUCGGUGUGUAAACUCCUUUUAUCAGAGAAGAAAAUGACGGUAUCUGAUGAAUAAGCUCCGGCUAACUCCGUGCCAGCAGCCGCGGUAAUACGGAGGGAGCAAGCGUUAUUCGGAAUCACUGGGCGUAAAGGACGCGUAGGCGGGUUUUUAAGUCAGGUGUGAAAUCCUAUGGCCCAACCAUAGAACUGCACUUGAAACUGGGGACCUAGAGUAUGGAAGGGGCAGGUGGAAUUAGUGGUGUAGGGGUAAAAUCCGUAGAUAUCACUAGGAAUACCGAAAGCGAAGGCGACCUGCUGGGACAUUACUGACGCUGAGGCGUGAAAGCGUGGGGAGCAAACAGGAUUAGAUACCCUAGUAGUC